CACGGUUAGGUAAAUUGUCUCAAGGCCAGUCUCCUGGACAUUGACUUUCCUUUCAACUUUGUUUGUAGGCUUCUUCAAUCAGCUUUACUGAACUAGAAUUUACUUGAGAUAAAACUUAGCGCUUCGAGUGUAUCUGAUAGGGAGAGUUUGGAAACACACAGGAGCACAGAAGGCCACAUGACCCAAAGGUGGAGACUGAAGAGAUUUUUCUACAAGACGAAGACAGUCCGUGAUUACCAGCAUGCUGUGGGAGCCAGGGAGAGGCACAGAGCAGAUUGUCCAGCAUGGCUCUCAGCAGAGAUUUGCUGACACCUCAGUUCAGAUUCCUGGCCUCCAGUCAAGUCAAUCUCUGUUGCUUAGGCCACCCUGCUAGUUCCCAGAGCCCUAGGAAAAGAAUAAGAACCUUCCUUCGUCUCAGAGCUGGGGAUUUUC